UACGAAGGGGGGCUAGCGUUGCUCGGAAUCACUGGGCGUAAAGGGUGCGUAGGCGGGUCUUUUAAGUCAGGGGGUGAAAUCCUGGAGCUCAACUCCAGAACUGCCUUUGAUACUGAAGAUCUUGAGUUCGGGAGAGGUGAGUGGAACUGCGAGUGUAGAGGUGAAAUUCGUAGAUAUUCGCAAGAACACCAGUGGCGAAGGCGGCUCACUGGCCCGAUACUGACGCUGAGGCACGAAAGCGUGGGGAGCA
rnacentral:rRNA from 1 species